rnacentral:tRNA from 5 species
GCACUCUUAGUGUAAUGGAUAUCACUUAAGAUUCCGGUUCUUAAAAUCCGGGUUCGACUCCCGGGGAGUGCA